AACGAACGCUGGCGGCGUGCCUAACACAUGCAAGUCGAACGAGAAAGGGGCUUCGGCUCCGAGUAAAGUGGCGCACGGGUGAGUAACACGUGGGUAACCUGCCUCUAAGAUUGGGAUAACUCGUCGAAAGAUGAGCUAAUACCGAAUAAGACCACAGUUCCCGCGGGAACAGGGGUCAAAGGUAGCCUCUGCUUGCAAGCUAUCACUUAGAGAUGGGCCUGCGCACCAUUAGCUAGUUGGUAGGGUAACGGCCUACCAAGGCAAAGAUGGUUAGCUGGUCUGAGAGGAUGAUCAGCCACACUGGAACUGAGACACGGUCCAGACUCCUACGGGAGGCAGCAGUGGGGAAUAUUGCGCAAUAGGCGAAAGCUUGACGCAGCAACGCCGCGUGAGUGAUGAAGGCCUUCGGGUCGUAAAGCUCUGUCGGGAGGAACGAAUGCUCCUGAGGUUAACAGCCUCGGGAGGUGACGGUACCUUCAAAGGAAGCACCGGCUAACUCUGUG
rnacentral:rRNA from 1 species